GCACCACCACCACCACCACCACCACUGCCACCACCACCACCACCACCAACAACAACAACAAUAACAAUACCUACAACAAAAACAACAAGAAGAAGAACAACAACAACCACAACAACAACAAGAAGAACAACAACAACAACAACAAACAACGAUGACAACAACAACAACCACAAUGACGAGAACAAUGACAACAACAACAACAACAACAACAACAACAACAACAACAACAACAACAACAACAACAAC
rnacentral:lncRNA from 1 species